CACCGCGGUUAAACGAGAGGCCCUAGUUGAUAGUAUUGCGGCGUAAAGGGUGGUUAGGGGCUGUAACUUAAUAAAGCUGAAUAGCCCUCCGGCCGUCAUACGCUUCCAGGCGCUAGAAAUCCAAUUAAACGAAAGUAGCUUUAAUGAAAUUCACCUGACCCCACGAGAGCUAAGAAA
rnacentral:rRNA from 1 species